GCGUGAAGGAAAGACAGAUGGGAAAGGACAGAUAGAUAGAUAAACUGAUAAAUACAGAAAUACAUGUUUGAAGGGGGGAAAAGGCUGAUAGAUAAUAUAAUACAUGCUUGAAUGUAUACAUGUGGGAAAGAAAGAGAAGGGGAGAGGCAGAUAGAUAGAUAAACUGAUAAAUACAUGUGUGAGAGGGAGGAUAGGUCAAUAGAUAAAUGAUAGAUUAAUAGAUAGACAGAUGAAGACAGUGCAUAUGUUAAUAGAUAAAAUAAAUAAAGAAAUAUGGAGAGAGAUCAAUGAAUUUAUAUUCUAAGCAAGAACUACCAUUACUACUACUACUACUACUACUACUACUACUACUCGGUAAGGAGUGGCUCCCCCGUCACGCUGGUCGCGGGUUCAGUCCCAGGCAGCCGGGGAAUACCCUCUCCUUGUUGUGAUUAAUUUCUCGUGUGUUUGGAUACACGCAGAGGACGUGUGGGACCGAGAGAGUAAUAGAAAAAAAGAGAA